rnacentral:tRNA from 1 species
GGGCCAUUAGCUCAACUGGCAGAGCAGGCGACUCUUAAUCGCAAGGUUAAAGGUUCGAUUCCUUUAUGGCCCACCA